AAAGUAUCAAAAAGUAAAACAAAAGAAGACAAAAGCUAAAGUGCCGAGAAAACCUGGGAUGGGAAUUUGAUUAAGGGGGGAGGGGGAAGUCUAAAACCUUAUCUGUUUCUUAAGGAAUCAAAUUAGGGGUUGGAAAGAUGGGCUUUAACAGUAAGCCUUGACUGGGAAAAAGGAAAAAGAGAAGAAGAAGAAAGCUUUGGUCCGAGGCUUUAAGAAGAUGUUGCAGUUGGAACUGAAAGUAGCAAUUCUCCUUCGGCUCAAGAGAGACAGCAGUUGACGCAGGCGAGGAUUUCGUUAAUUAGAGCGCACAGGUUGAGAGCUCUUGGUGAGCCUCGCACUUGUUCGGGUGGGCGAAGAGUUUUAUUUAUUUGCUAUAGUCUUUUCUUUUGAACUCUUAGAGUUUCUCCAUCGUUAUCUUACUAGUAUCGUGAGUAUUCAUUUGUUGAUAUGGACUAGUUACUAGUAUUAAACUUUCUUUUCGUAUUUUUAGAGAUGGUUUUGGUUUUAUUAUGUUAAGGAGGUUGGUAAUAUUGGUGGAAACCCAUUUGUGGUUAGUUGAUGAAGAUUGUGACUGAUUUAGGUGAAUAUUUGUUGGUUGUUACUUGUUUGUAAGACAGGAAAUUUUUUGGAUAGUCCAAAAACAGGAAAAAUUCUGUC